GACUCUGUCUCAAAAAAAUAAAAUAAAAGAGUCAGAUAGAAAACAUCUGAGGCUCUGUGAGCCAUCCAGUCUCUGUCAUAAUUACUCAACUCUUACAUUGGAGGUAGGGUGAAAGCAACAAUAGAAACUUUGGAGUUUAACCCUUCUGCCAAUCCAGAGGCAAGCACAAUAUUCCAUGGGAACUGUCAAACAGAUGCUUUGGAGUUUAACCCUUCUGCCAAUGCAGAGGCAAGCACAAUAUUCCAGAGGAACUCUCAAACGGAUGUUAUAGAAAUAAGAAGAAGCAACUAUACAAACCACGUAAGUAAACAGUCAAAUAGUUAAGAAAUUGAUAGUUUGACAUAAAAGUGUGUC